UUUUUCUUUUUUUGAAAGGACUCUUUUACUUAAUUUAGAUUUGUUUAUUUCAUUCAAUCUAGUCUGACAGUCGACACCCCUCACUUUCUUUGUCUUUCUUUGCAGUGAAGGUGAAGAAUGUCAUCCACCACCGCACUCAAGUCUAGGCCGUGCAGCCACCACCACCUCUACCUUAAGCUGAAGCCGCACCACCACCUCUUUUGCUCUCCUGCAAACCGCGCCAUCAACACCACCUCUAAUUGAUUAGGAGCUGAUCUUGGAUCUUCUUCGUUAUAUUUUUAUGAGAAAGGGUUGUGUUUAUGUGCUCAACAACAGAGGUCAUAUUAUUUUUGUUGCAGGAUUAGAUCCUUGACACCAAGCAAACCCUAGUAAGAAGUGGUAUGGAGUUCUUUAGUAAUUGGUUUACUUCCUUUUUAAGGAUGUUUUGAAAUAGUUAUAUAAUGGUUCUUCAGGUUUUUCUACAUUACUCACUCACUUCUACUAUGAUGACUGAUGAGAUUGGUAGUUGAAAUAUUUUCUAUAUCCUACUUGAUGUACUUACUUUAAAUUUAUCACAACAUCUCUCAAUGUACUUGCUUUAGUUUUAUCACCACAUCUCAAUAUUGUUUAUAUAUGAUAUGUAUUAAUGUCUUGCCCAAGUUUAUUCUUGCUACUAAAGUUUCUUUGGAUAUGCUAUGUAUUUGUACUUUCACGGCAUUAUCAUUCAUAACCAUAUUAGUAUUCUGUUGCCAGUCUUGCCACUGUUUUCAGUUGCCUUCCUCUGUUCAUAUUCCAUAUUUUAUUUUAAGUAUUCUUAUAAUGGCUAUCUUAAGCUUUCUAAUAAGUUGGAUUUUAUGCUGCUACUACAUCUUUGUUUAUUCUUGUACUUGUACAUCCCAGGCUCCCUAACUCUUGCUUUUGAUGUUGAUAUUUACAACUCUAUCUAACUUGCAUCGUAGAAUCCAUGUGAUAUGUCUGUUUCAACGAGCUUUUCUUUGAGUUGUUCAUUAAAGAGUAUUUUCAAUAAUAUACCUCAUUGAUUAUGGCUACUUUAAGGUACUUUGACCAUACUUGUAUUGACUCCGUUUAACCAAUCUUCCUAUGUGGUCCUGAAAGCAUGCACAUUACUAUUUUUUUUUUUUUAAUAUUUUUCAUUCUUGCAUCGUUUGUACCUUUAUGAUAUAAGUCAUAUAACAUUAGAAUUUUUUAUUUUUAUAUCUUAUGGAAAUGUAUUCUUAAAUGCAUGGAAAUGGUUUUAUAUGUCAUAUACCUCUUAAUGCAGGAGCUGUAGUGCCUGCGUUGUCAUUCAACAACUUUUCUUAUCAUAUCAUGGUUGACAAUUUUUAUGUCUGCAUCUUCAAAGGAUCUGCCUUUUACGGUUCAAGAGGUUAAAGAUUCCUACUUAGUGAGAUUUUGUUGCUGCCUUGCUACUUCCCUCCUACUGACGACAUUGAUGCCCCUGCUACUUCACGUUCUGCUCUGCUAGGCUGCUACUUCACGUUCUGCUGUUGGGAUGCUACUUCACAUUCAACCUUUGCUAGAGCAUCUGCUGUUGUUGCUUUAAGUUAUUUAUUUUCAAAAAAUAAAAAAAAUGUAUAUCUUCAAGUUUCUAUUGGUCAAAAAUAAUUGGUGUUUAUGGGUGUUUUUUUUAAGAAACUAUGAAAUUAUAUCACUUCACAUUUUGGUAUAUCGUAUAUGUUAAUUUCACAUUUGUGAUCA